UCAUCAGGUAGGAAAAUCCUUGCCCACUCCUUCUUUUGAUGUUGACUGAAGUUUGCAAGACACAUGAUUAACAUCUCUGUGUUAUCAGGAUAUAGGAUGUGUUAGCAAUGCCCUAAUGGCUCAGCCUUUUGAA
rnacentral:snoRNA from 1 species